rnacentral:misc_RNA from 1 species
AACACUGUUAACCUGCGGUACCUGCGGAGGGAUCAUUACAGAGUUGCAAAACUCCCUAAACCAUUGUGAACGUUACCUAAACCGUUGCCUCGGCGGGCGGCCCGGGUCCUUCCCGGCGCCCCUCGGCCCUCGCGGGCGCCCGCCGGAGGUAAACCAAACUAUUGCAUUGUAUGGCCUCUCUGAGUCUUCUGUACUGAAUAAGUCAAAACUUUCAACAACGGAUCUCAGAUCGGAAGAGCA